rnacentral:rRNA from 1 species
UACGUAGGGCGCAAGCGUUGUCCGGAAUUAUUGGGCGUAAAGAGCUCGUAGGCGGCCUGUUGCGUCCGCUGUGAAAUCCCGGGGCUUAACCCCGGGCGUGCAGUGGAUACGGGCUGGCUAGAGGCAGGCAGGGGAGAACGGAAUUCCCGGUGUAGCGGUGAAAUGCGCAGAUAUCGGGAGGAACACCGGUGGCGAAGGCGGUUCUCUGGGCCUGUUCUGACGCUGAGGAGCGAAAGCGUGGGGAGCAAACAGG